CCCUUAGAUGUUCUGGGCUGCACGCGUGCUACACUGAUUACUUCAACAAGUGUUUUAACUGGAGAGUUCGCGUAAUCCUGAAAUGUUAUCGUGAUGGGAGUAGAGUAUUGUAUUUGUUAAUCUUUAACGAGGACUUCCUAGUAAGUGUAGGUUUAUUUGUUUUUUUUUUUACGUCCCUGCCCUUUGUACACACCGCCCGUCGCUCCUACCGAUUGAUUGAUCCGGUGAAUUACAUAGAAUUUUGCGUUUUACAUGACGGAAGAGGAAGUGUUUUAAACCUUAUCAUUUAGAGGAAGGAGAAGUCGUGACA
rnacentral:rRNA from 1 species